GGAAGUCAGCUGUGAACCAAUCCCCCGCAUCCUCAAAAGGCGACAGCGUGAGUGUGUGUUCGCUUAUGCGUUAAGGGUGUGUUCGUGUUUGUGUGUGUUGUGUAAUUGCAGUCUCACUGACAUACACCGUAUGUAUUUAAAGUACCGUUUAACUCAAACAGGCAAUGAGGAUGGUUAUAUUUCGAAGCAUGACCCCAUUCAUAUGUAUGAGUGUUGUAAUAGCCUACUUCCUGACCAGAGUUUGACAGUGGCCACUACAAUGAUGCUGUGGUGUUGAGUGCUGCGUUCUUCAUUUAAUCUAAAGGGUCUACUGUCUAACCCUCAAACAACUCAAAAGUAGUUAAACACAGCUGAACGAGGCGACAUUAUACUGAACCAAAGUCAACUGAACUUUGAAGUAAAAGUAAACCAAAAUGAACUAAGCUGAACAAAACUAGACUGAGUUAAACUGAACUGAUUUAAUCUAAACUCAAGAAAUCUAUACCUUGUUGAAACCAAUUCUUAAACUUAUGAAUCCUACUACUGAUGCACUUGAGAAUGACUUACCACUUGACUUAUUAUGUGUGAUUUUCAAUUUAUGCACACACACACAACCACACUUUCAACACUUUGCAAUCUACUCUCCAUAAAAACAUGUGGUGUAUCUUUACCACGCAUCUUUUUCUCAUCUAGUCAAAUCACCAUAAAACUCCACCCCUUUUUUACACAGGAAAUGACAAAACUCCACCCCCCCCUCUCUCUCUCUCGCUCUCCCCCCCCCCCUCUCUCCCUCUCUCUCUGCAUCUGUGUGACAGAUAACUGUAUCUCAUAGCAUUCUUCUGCUCCAUGUUGGAUCAGCUUCCUGAGGAUUGCCAACAUGAGCUUUCGAAAACGCACGUUCAAGUGGUUGGGCAGCCUCACCAGCCUUUCCCUCCGGUGGUCCAAGGACUCCAAGGCCCCUCGCCAGUCACAACAGCCAGGCAAUGGAUCAGCAACCGGUGAUGAAGACCGCGAUGACGGCCGCGCCGCCGGCCCCCUCUCUCCGGUCUCUGAGACCACCAUGGAUGACAUGGGGGCCAUGCGUCCGCGUACCACAAGCUACGCUCGCUCCAGCGACAACUACACACACAUGGGGACCCUGCCACGUCUGCUGUCAAGGAAGAAGAAAAAGAAGGAUAAAGGUGGGGCCAGCAGCAGUACGAAAGAGAAGAACUCGCCCCCAAGGGCCCAGAAUGCAACAGUUCCAUUGACAUGUGACCCUAACGUCCCUCCGCCCGCAGACAAGCCGGCGAUAUCCAAAGAAACCGAAAAAUCCGAGAAGGAGGCCAAAGACACGACACAUGAUGAGCCCAGCGCACCAGAAGCUCCCACGGUCAAUGCCGUGACCCCAUCCGAGGUGACAGAGGGUAUUGAUGGUGUAGUAAGCCAUCCUAACCCCCCGACAACCCAGGGUACCUUCAAAGAACCCAUAAGAGAUGAGGAGGAAGGCGAGAAAACGGAGAAGGGGUCUGAAGCGGGGAAAAUAUCUGACAACGUUUCUAGGUAAGCUAUGAUAUACAACAGCUUUGUGUUUAUAUAUGUUUACAAUAAAUCACGUGCUGAUCUCCCGACAUGAACGCCAUGCUCCGAAUUAGAGUUUUUGGCGGGAGAGAGGGUGGGACUUUCACUACCAUUGGAUGAGUGGUGGGAGAGAGGGAGGGACUUCUGAUAGAGGGAUAUCCGUUUUCAUUACAUUCAUUCGUUUCAUUAUGUUUCAGAUAUUGCAAUUCAAGAUCGUCUCUCAGUCUGGUCUGAAAUCAUAUCCGAUUGGAUCAAAUAAAAUGCUAUAGGGCGUGUUUGGGUGAUGGGUGUAGGCUUUAUAUAUAGAAGAAACUUGACGUCAUACUACAUGGAACGGGAUUCGAUUUUGAAUGACAGAAUAGGAUACACGUCACAUAAAAUGGAGAGAAGCUAAAUGCAACAGGCCUAUGUGUUAAGAGGAUUCUGAGUGCUGUUUUGAUAAUUGCUUAUACGCAAAGUAAGGUUGCAUAAAUACACACACUUAUUCACUGGCAAUGAUCAAUAUUCAGUGAAAAAUUAUGGCUCCAAAAUUACGCAUUUUUAUAUGGCCUGCAGGGAUUUCCAAAGUUGUGAAGUUUGCUUGCCUUGCGAUUCACAACAUUUCCCACGGGCGAUAGGUUUAAGAGGCUGACGAAAUAAGGAUUUGUUUUUUUUACUUUUGUGAAUUCAGCGAAUAAGGUUGAAAUUCCCUAUUGAUUUCACAAUGCAGUCUGAGCAGCCACGGCGAUAUAGCACCUUUUAUGUGAAUUUGCUUUGACACACACAAUACCCAUAUCGGCUUAUGUUCCGCCUGUUUGCCAAUGAAUGCUUUUAUUGAAAUGUCAACCAUGUCAGUAUUGUCAGGAGCAUAGACCUAUGGCAGCCUGUAAUUACUCGCUCCGUCUUUGAUUUGCCUGUUUAUGUCUCCUUCCAUUGUCGUUAUAGUGAAUGGCAGAGUGGUGAGAUAAUGUCUUGUGUUGCACUGGAAUUUACUUACCACGGCUUGCGCGUGUGAUGUGUGCGUGCAGACGUGUGUGUAAGUGUUUGUGUGUGAGUGCGUGCCUGCGUGCGUGCGUGCAUGUGUGUGUGUGUGUGUGUGUGUGUGUGUGUGUGUGUGUGUCUAUGCGCGCAGGCGUGCUCAUUGUGAAUAUUUGUAUGUCAGCUCUGUCUAUAAUAGGCUACCCGUUAUUUCCUCCAUUCGGACUGUGGGAAUGGGGUGUACUGUGGGGACUUAUCCUCCAGCCCUGUCUUGCUAUUUCCUCAUUCUCUCUUACUCAGUCUUUUUUUAUUUUGUUUUAUUUUCUUUCGGUCCACAUCGCUGUCUUAUCUUGAGCUGAGAGCGGAUUCUUGUAUUCCCCCGGGGCUGAAUGACCUCACUCACAUUCUGGUUUUUAAAGUCUGUAUUUGAUCAGUUUUUGCGCCAUAGUCAGUCAACAAUGGCAAGGCAAAGUAAAAAAAGCCAUGAAGAAGGGUUCUCACUGCCUUACAUUUGUGCACUUUGUGUAUUUUAAUCCAUUAUGGCCUGAAUAGUUCAAAAUAGAGUUCAUCCGGAGAGCACAUUAGAGAGGGUUAUUAUUAAUGAAUAGCCAUCUGAUAGUAUUGAUAUUCUUACUUUGUGUUGAAAACUAGAUUCAAUAGUUUCCCACGACUGGAGUAUUUUAAUCCUUAUUUCAUGGCCAACGAUGCAAACCACCUGUCCUCUGCUGUCACCGCUUUACGUCUGUCUUGACCUUGCCUGUUUCACGCCUUGCAGAUGGAAAGUGAAAUAUAAUAUUAAAAAAAAUAUAUAUAUACACUUUCUAGCAGGAGAUGAAAUCACAAAGUGAAAGCUGAGGAGCAAAAAUACCGGACACAACUGAUCCACUGUAAUCCCGAAGUACAAAGAGUAAGGUUAAAUUAUGCAUUCAUGUUAUAAACCAUGUAGUUAAAUGAUUCAUUACCGGUUAGAGUCACGUUAUAAACCAUGAAGUUACAUUAUACAUUACAGGUCAUAGUCAUAUUAUAAACCAUGUAGUUACAUGUUACAUUACAGGUUCGGGAGAAACCAUGUAGUUACAUUAUACAGUAACGGUUAUAUUCAUGUCACAAUCCGUAUAGUUAUAUGACACAUUACAGUUUAUAGUCACGUUAUAAACCAUGUAGUUGCAUUAACAUUAUACAUGUUACAUUAACAUUGUACAUUACAGGUUAUAGUCAUGUUAUAAACUAUGUAGUUACAUUAACAUUAUACAUUCAAGGUUAUAGUCAUGUUAUAAACCAUGUAGUUACAUUAACAUUGUACAU
ensembl:lncRNA